rnacentral:rRNA from 1 species
GACGAACGCUGGCGGCGUGCCUAAUACAUGCAAGUUGAGCGCUGAAGGUUGGUACUUGUACCAACUGGAUGAGCAGCGAACGGGUGAGUAACGCGUGGGUAAUCUGCCUUUGAGCGGGGGACAACAUUUGGAAACGAAUGCUAAUACCGCAUAAAAACUUUAAACACAAGUUUUAAGUUUGAAAGAUGCAAUUGCAUCACUCAAAGAUGAUCCCGCGUUGUAUUAGCUAGUUGGUGAGGUAAAGGCUCACCAAGGCGAUGAUACAUAGCCGACCUGAGAGGGUGAACGGCCACAUUGGGAAUGGGACACGGCCCAAACUCCUACGGGAGGCAGCAGUAGGGAAUCUUCGGCAAUGGACGAAAGUCUGACCGAGCAACGCCGCGUGAGUGAAGAAGGUUUUCGGAUCGGAAAACUCUGUUGGUAGAGAAGAACGUUGGGGAGAGUGGAAAGCGCAUCAAGUGACGGUAACUACCCAGAAAGGGACGGCUAACUACGUG